CCCCCCCCAUGCUCUAGUACCUCAUAAUGGUGCUCUUCGGCUUCCUGGUUCCUGGUCUGAGGCUGGACAUGAGAGAACACGGGUCCUGUUUGGCUCUAUUGCGCCUGGAAGAACAGCAGAGGAUUCUGGUUGUGUUAGACUGGACCGGGGGAUAAGAGAUGCAUCCAGGGUGGCCUAGUGGCUCAUGGCGGGGCGAAGCAUGGGGGGGGCGAACUGGCUUCCCUACCACUCGUGGGACCUGGACAGGAAUGACUCGGGUCCGGCCGAGGGAGGUGAGCAGCAGGUAGCCCAAGCCCCCGCCUACAAGGAGGGCCCCCAGGCCCAGGCAGCUGAGGGCCACGGUGAGGGCGAGCCCCAAGUUCUUGCCGUCCUUCCCCCUCUGCUGGGACUUCGUGGUGUUCGCGGAUUUCUCUGAAAAAGAGCAAGGGGACACCCUCGUUGGCCCGAGGGAAGUCCCAGAAUUCUCCGCCUCCCUUGUGGGUCCGCUCAGACAGAACUCCCCAGUUCUGGACCGGACACCCGAGGGGAAGCCCUCUCCCUCCAGCCUCAGUUUCCCCAACUGUCGAGAGAAGGUUGGACUCCAUGAAUCCAAAGGGCCCUCCCACCCCUGAUAUUUCAUUAUUAUUAUUUUUUACUUAUUUAUAUCUCUAUGAUUUAUUUGUUAUUUUAUUUUGUUAUUUAUCUCUUAACGAAUUUGUCAAAUUACUUCCAAAAAUAACGGCAGCUAGGAGGAGAGAAUGCUGGGAUCGGGAUCAAGAAGACGGCUUAGAUGUGUGAUGCAGGACAAGUGCCUUAACUUCUGCCUGCCUCAGUUUCUUCAUCUGCAAACUGGGAAUAAAAUCAGCACCUCCCUCUUA